rfam:Brassica oleracea var. oleracea cultivar TO1000 chromosome C3, whole genome shotgun sequence
AGAAUAUAAGAAAUCGUCUCUUAACUUUUAACUAAAAAAAACUAAGAACCGGCUUUUAAAUAUCUUAUUUAAGAGCCGGUUCUUAGCUUUUUUAGUUAAAAGUUAAGAAAUGUUUUAUUAUAUUCC